CCUUUCUCUCAAUUCACGCUUUACUUUUUCUCCAAACCCUAAACGAGAUCAUGCAUCCUUCUCUGUCGGCGACUAACAUCUGAUUCCAUCGAUCUUGCCUAAAUCACAUUAACGAUUUCUGAUUCAAGCUAUCUUUUCUAAACAAUUUUGAAAAUCGAAGAUUAUUCACAACUAUUUGGAGAUGACUUUCACAUAAACUUUAUAGCAGAUUAUGAACUGGUAUUCUGCUGUCAUAUUUCCAGUGGUUCAGAAACAGCAUCAGCUUCUUGUAACAUUGCUUCUGUGCAAUGCAGCUGCCAUGGAGGGAAUUAAAAGAUCUGGCACGGUAUGACGCAUUUUCCCGCUGCACUAGUUUCCAAGGUCAUCCGGGGUUUAGGGAAUGUGACUCUUUCCUGGACAAGUCACAGUCCUUAAACUGUGUUUAUGAUAUGUUUGAGUUUGUAUUGUCUGUUGAACAAGAUUAUGGUUGUUAGGGUGUUUCCCGUUAAAACGAUGUUAUGGUAUAUUCGGUUUUAAACUUAAUGGAUGAUCUUGCAUAUUUUUAAAUUCAUAUAGCUUUGUUAUGAUUAAGCUAUGGUAUUAA
rnacentral:lncRNA from 1 species